rnacentral:rRNA from 1 species
AGUGAACGCUGGCGGUAGGCCUAACACAUGCAAGUCGAACGGCAGCACAGUAAGAGCUUGCUCUUACGGGUGGCGAGUGGCGGACGGGUGAGGAAUACAUCGGACUCUACUUUUUCGUGGGGGCUAACGUAGGGAAACUUACGCUAAUACCGCAUACGACCUACGGGUGAAAGCAGGGGAUCUUCUGACCUUGCGCGAUUGACUGAGCCGAUGUCGGAUUAGCUAGUUGGCGGGGUAAAGGCCCACCAAGGCGACGAUCCGUAGCUGGUCUGAGAGGAUGAUCAGCCACACUGGAACUGAGACACGGACAAGACUCCUACGGGAGGCAGCAGUGGGGAAUAUUGGACAAUGGGCGCAAGCCUGAUCCAGCCAGACCGCGUGGGUGAAGAAGGCCUUCGGGUUGUAAAGACCUUUUGUUGGGAAAGAAAAGCAGCAGGUUAAUACCCCGCUGUUCUGACGGUACCCAAAGAAUAAGCACCGGCUAACUUCGUG